UGCAAGUCGAACGGUAACAGAUCUAGCUUGCUAGAUGCUGACGAGUGGCGCACGGGUGCGUAACGCGUAUACAAUCUACCUCUAACUGAGGGAUAGCCCAGAGAAAUUUGGAUUAAUACCUCAUAGUAUUAUAUUAAGGCAUCUUUUUAUAAUUAAAGCUCCGGUGGUUAGAGAUGAGUAUGCGUCCUAUUAGCUAGUUGGUAAGGUAAUAGCUUACCAAGGCUACGAUAGGUAGGGGGCCUGAAAGGGUGAUCCCCCACACUGGUACUGAGACACGGACCAGACUCCUACGGGAGGCAGCAGUGAGGAAUAUUGCACAAUGGAGGAAACUCUGAUGCAGCCAUGCCGCGUGCAGGAUGAAUGCCCUAUGGGUUGUAAACUGCUUUUAUACAAGAAGAAACAUCAGUACGUGUACUGACUUGACGGUAUUGUAUGAAUAAGCACCGGCUAACUCCGUGCCAGCAGCCGCGGUAAUACGGAGGGUGCAAGCGUUAUCCGGAUUUAUUAGGUUUAAAGGGUCCGCAGGCGGAAUAUUAAGUCAGUGGUGGAAGCCUACAGCUCAACUGUAGAACUGCCAUUGAAACUGUUAUUCUUGAGUAUGGAUGAAGUGGGCGGAAUAUGUCAUGUA
rnacentral:rRNA from 1 species